rnacentral:rRNA from 1 species
CCCUACGAGGUGCAGCAGGCGAGAAAACUUUGCAAUGUGCGAAAGCACGACAAGGUUAAUCCGAGUGGUUUCUGCUAAAGAAACCUUUUGUCGGUCCUAGAAACACCGAUGAAUAAGGGGUGGGCAAGUUCUGGUGUCAGCCGCCGCGGUAAAACCAGCACCUCAAGUGGUCAGGAUGAUUAUUGGGCCUAAAGCAUCCGUAGCCGGCUCUGUAAGUUUUCGGUUAAAUCUGUAUGCUCAACAUACAGGCUGCCGGGAAUACUGCAGAGCUAGGGAGUGGGAGAGGUAGACGGUACUCGGUAGGAAGGGGUAAAAUCCUUUGAUCUAUUGAUGACCACCUGUGGCGAAGGCGGUCUACCAGAACACGUCCGACGGUGAGGGAUGAAAGCUGGGGGAGCAAACCGGAUUAGAUACCCGGGUAGUCCCAGCUGUAAACUAUGCAAACUCAGUGAUGCAUUGGCUUGUGGCCAAUGCAGUGUUGCAGGGAAGCCGUUAAGUUUGCCGCCUGGGAAGUACGUACGCAAGUAUGAAACUUAAAGGAAUUGGCGGGGGAGCACCACAAGGGGUGAAGCCUGCGGUUCAAUUGGAGUCAACGCCAGAAAUCUUACCCGGAGAGACAGCAGAAUGAAGGUCAAGCUGAAGACUUUACCAGACAAGCUGAGAAGAGGUGCAUGGCC